CCUACGGGUGGCAGCAGUAGGGAAUUUUGCGCAAUGGGCGAAAGCCUGACGCAGCAACGCCGCGUGAUUGAUUAAGCCCUUCGGGGUGUAAAGAUCUGUCAGUGGGGACGAAAAUUGACGGUACCCACAGAGGAAGCAUCGGCCAACUCCGUGCCAGCAGCCGCGGUUAUACGGAGGGUGCCAGCGUUGUUCGGAAUGAUUGGGCGUAAAGAGUUCGUAGGUGGCAUAUUAAGUCUGGUGUUAAAUGCAGAAGCUCAACUUCUGUUCGGCAGUGGAUACUGGUAAGCUUGAAUGCGUUAGAGGUAGAGGGAAUGCCUGGUGUAGCGGUGAAAUGCGUAGAUAUCAGGAGGAACAUCGGUGGCGUAAGCGCGUUACUGGGCCGUAAUUGACACUGAGGAACGAAAGCCGGGGUAGCAAAUGGGAUUAGAUACCCUGGUAGUC
rnacentral:rRNA from 1 species